UCUGUCAUUAGUUCUGCGCCCCCUGAUAACGUUGCCUUGGUUUCACGUCCAGUCGUCCUUCCAAAUUUCACUUUGAAGUUGGAGAUGCUCCUGGGGCUGC